UCUCUCUCUCUCUCUCUCUCUGUAUCCGGGUAAGAUAGCUCCUCUCCUCACACGAGGUCGGGAAACAGAUUAAAACCAACGUUUGUCUCGGUUUGUCAGUACUGUGAGAAAACUUAAUUACCAAAGAAGCCUGAGUGCUAAAACAAGCUUUGAAGCUGCUUCUGUGUCGAACACGAGUGAGGCUGGACGCUAACCACACCUGCGGCGCGAAGCUGAAUUGUCAGAAACAACAGGAUCCAUCAAUGGUGAAGGUGUCAGCACUUGUGAUCAGAGUGACAUUUUCGAUGAUCACAGAGAGUCUUCAUACAAUUAAGCCGUUCUUUGAGACCAGGACAGAGGCCUCCAGCUGUAUUCAGAGAAACAACAGGAUCCACCAAUGGUAAAGGAGGCGAAAACAGCAGCUGAAGACCUGAAGUGGAUGAAAGAAACCAAAGUGUUACUAAGCUGUUAAUUAGACAAAAGACCUCAAUCAUCUAACUGCUGUAAACAGUUGGUAUCCUGUUGUCAAAGUGAAAACACUGUUUUUUUUCCUACCAUUUGUAAUGUAGUCAUAGGUACAUUUUCCACAGACUAAUAUGUCUCUAUUAAACAUCUGUGAGAACAUUCAACUGCUCAUGAUACAACUAUUUAAUUAAUAAUUGUACCACAAGCAGUUAAAUGAUCACAGAGAUGUUUAGUAGACACAUAAGUCUGUCAUUAUCUUUGCUGUGAUUUGUUAAAUGGUGUCUGGAAUAAAAUUAUUACAUGUUUUUUCCUAAAUUUUUGAGUUGCAUUUCUCUAUCCUGAAACUGAUUUUAACAGGUUUUACUUUUUAAGCAUUUUGAAAAUAUUAAUUAAGAUAUUAAUCAUUUGAAAUGUUUCACACUUCUGUUUAACUAUAUUUAUAAGGUCCUAAAUUAAUUUUUACAGAUUUCUACUUCAUUCUUAAAGGUUUUAUUCUCUUCUGCUGUAUUUUAAACUAUGAUUUUCUAUGAAAAACACUAAUGAAAACUAAUAAGUUAAAGCAGCUUUAAUUGGUUUCUAAGAGUCAAACUGCAGCUGAGAUAAUGACAGAGUCAUACUAAAAAGAAUAAAAUUAACACUGACCUUCUGGAAAUGUCUUCA